UCCCUCUGCUGCCCAGUUGCGCCGCCAGAGGGCUGAGGGCAGGGAGCGAGUAACCCGCCAGGGAGAAGGCGAGGGGAAGCCCAGCGCGAGCCGCCCUCCAGUCCCGCUCCGCAGGUGUGAACCUGUAAAAUUAAAUCAUCCAAGAUGAUCUGGCAUAUUCUAAUUGUAGGGAUUCUGCUUCCCCAAACUUUGGCCCAUCCAGGGUUUUUUACUUCAAUUGGUCAAAUGACUGAUUUGAUCCAUACGGAGAAAGACCUGGUGACUUCUCUAAAAGAUUAUAUUAAGGCAGAAGAGGACAAGUUAGAACAGAUAAAAAGAUGGGCAGAGAAGUUAGAUCGGCUGACUAGCACAGCAACAAAAGAUCCAGAAGGAUUUGUUGGGCAUCCUGUAAAUGCUUUCAAGUUAAUGAAACGGCUGAAUACUGAGUGGAGUGAGUUGGAGAAUCUGGUCCUUAAGGAUAUGUCAGAUGGGUUUAUCUCUAACCUAACCAUUCAGAGACAGUAUUUCCCUAAUGAUGAAGAUCAGGUUGGGGCAGCCAAAGCCUUGUUACGUCUCCAGGACACCUACAAUCUGGACACAGAUACCAUCUCAAAGGGUAAUCUUCCAGGAGUGAAACACAAAUCAUUCCUUACGGCUGAGGACUGCUUUGAGUUGGGCAAAGUGGCCUACACAGAAGCAGACUAUUACCACACCGAACUCUGGAUGGGACAGGCCCUCAGGCAGCUGGAUGAGGGCGAGGUGGCCACAGUGGACAAGGUCUCUGUGCUAGAUUAUCUGAGCUAUGCUGUAUACCAGCAGGGAGACCUGGAUAAGGCCCUUGUGCUCACAAAGAAGCUUCUUGAACUAGAUCCUGAACAUCAGAGAGCUAAUGGUAACUUAAAAUAUUUUGAGUAUAUAAUGGCUAAAGAAAAAGAUGCAAAUAAGUCUGCUUCAGGUGACCAGUCUGAUCAGGAAAGCACAUCAAGGAGAAAAGGGAUUGCUGUGGAUUACCUGCCAGAGAGACAGAAGUACGAAAUGCUGUGCCGUGGGGAGGGUAUCAAAAUGACUCCUCGAAGACAAAAAAAGCUGUUUUGCCGCUACCAUGAUGGAAACCGGAAUCCUAAAUUUAUUCUGGCUCCAGCCAAACAGGAGGAUGAGUGGGACAAGCCUCGUAUUAUUCGCUUCCAUGAUAUUAUUUCUGAUGCAGAAAUUGAAAUUGUCAAAGACCUAGCAAAACCAAGACUGAGCCGAGCUACAGUACAUGACCCUGAGACUGGAAAAUUGACCACAGCACAAUACAGAGUAUCUAAGAGUGCCUGGCUCUCUGGCUAUGAAAACCCCGUGGUGUCUCGAAUUAACAUGAGGAUACAAGAUCUGACAGGACUAGAUGUGUCCACAGCAGAAGAAUUACAGGUAGCAAAUUAUGGAGUUGGGGGACAAUAUGAACCUCAUUUUGACUUUGCACGGAAAGAUGAACCAGAUGCUUUCAAAGAACUGGGAACAGGAAAUAGAAUUGCCACAUGGCUGUUUUAUAUGAGUGACGUGUCUGCAGGGGGAGCCACUGUUUUUCCUGAAGUAGGAGCUAGUGUUUGGCCCAAAAAAGUAAGGAACUGCUGUUUUCUGGUAUAAUCUGUUUGCCAGUGGAGAAGGAGAUUACAGUACACGGCAUGCAGCCUGUCCAGUACUAGUCGGAAACAAAUGGGUAUCCAAUAAAUGGCUUCAUGAACGUGGACAAGAAUUUCGAAGACCCUGCACUUUGUCAGAACUGGAAUGACAAGCUGGCUUCCCUGCCCCUCCUGUUGUUGUACUCUAAUGUGUCUGAUACACACAGUUCCUCGUCUUAACUUUCAAGGUUUACAGUUGACUAACACUCCUUGAUUGACACAGCCAUGAACCUCACCCCAUGCUCCAUCUGUGGACGGUCACUUGCUCUUCUUUUUUACAAGUAACACUAAAUUGCCACACUUGAAACAAGCUUAAAAGUUCAGUUGGUAUAACAGAAGGCAGACUUAAAAUGAAAAUUUUAUAUUUUAAAUAACUUUUUGGUUGGGCAAAUAUAAUUUAAGCAUCCGUUUUAGUAUUUCAUGACCUCUUCUGGACUGAUGUUGGUAGGCAGAUGCUGCUCGGUGGGUCGCUAGGUGUCUUGCCAGCUUGUUUUCUGGACUUGUGUGAACCCAAGUAAUAAAGCAGGCCUCGAUCUGGGCUCCAAGUGAUUUUGCCCCUUCAUACAUUAUUAUAAGUUGAAUUUUCCCCCUAUCUCCUCUUUCAAGGAAGUAUAUUUUGUUUUUCCAAUCCUUUUCUCUUUAGCUACUCUGUGGUGAAUUAAUCCUGUUUGAGUUAAAAUAGUUUUUAAAAAACAAAGUUCUGCCUAACCACCGUAGGCCUUCUUAACAAGCUCAUUAGUCUGUCCUUCCUUCUUUCUCUUGACUGAUGAUUUUUUCUGGAAACUUUGUUUUGCCUCUUACUCCUACUACAGCAGGGUGGUGAUACUGGCAUUCUGAUUAAAUAUUGUGCCUUAGGAGACUGGAAGUUUAAAAAUGUACAGGUCCUUUCAGUAAUGAGGGAAUUGAUUUUAAAAGAAAAUCUUUUCUUAAAAAGCCAAAAUGUUUGUUUUUUAAAAAAUUCUGAAAUGUGUUGACAACAAUAACCUAUUUAUGAUCUUAAAUCUUUUUUUAAAAAUC